GUUUCAAUAUAAGCCCCCCGCUCGGAGCUGGAGGUUUCUUUGAAUGAGGCCCGGGUUCCGAUCACGCCCAGGCCUGGCGCUGAUUUUAGAACACAGGUGUUGACCUUAGUGGAGCGGCUUGUGCUUGCUGCAGAGGAAAAUGAACCCCCGAGGCCGGCCCGCCUCGCACCGGGACUCACGCAGAUGCUUGAAGACGGUCAUAUAUGGGUCUAAGUGUGAACAAUGGGACCAGGAGUGGCUGGUGGAGAAAUGAUGGCUCCUCCAGGUUCAUGCCUGUAUUUCAUUUCAGCUCUUUAAACCAAUUCAGAGGUUUUUUUUAUUUUAUCCUGUGACCAUUAUUGGUCUCAAAUGACGUCUUUAAUGUAAUAUUUGACUUUGGCGUCUGAAACACGACCCUGAACGUUGCUUUUCUCUCCGCUGAGGCUGAGCGCCCAGUGACACAAUGAAACCUAAGUGAGGCCGAAGGACCCAGACUUGGAUGAAAUUCAACCUGGGCUUCAGCUGUGGCCGCUGGAGCUGCUGCUCCCACUCUACGCCUAAAGCCCAUAAAACACACCCAUCACGCAGUUGCCUCCUUGUUCCUCUCCGUCCGUCUCUUUUGCCCCUUUUCCUUUUUUUUUUUCCCCCAUCCAAAAAGGAGCCAUUGACUUUGGGUGUAAAACGGAGGCAGGGUGGGGGCCGAGCGGAGGAACGGUGGGGUGUAGGGUGUCCUGAGCCCAGUGUGAACAGCUGAGAGGUGUGAUUUCACAGGCUGGCUCCCCCCUGUCAGGGCCCUGAUUGGGCCGGACAGAAGGCGCAGGAGAGGCCCGGGCUUCUAAAGGACACCAACAGGUGGGAGGCCGCUCCGGAGGGGGGCGCGCCUGCUGGGAUAGAAAAGGCCCAUCCGCAAGGCCUGUUGUGGUCACAAUGCGCCGGUCAGAUGCGGAGGAGGAUGGCGGAGUGCGGCCGAGCUGAGGGGAGCAGAGGAGGAAGCAGGGGAUGAGGGGAGAGGGGCGACUGGGAAGGGCAGCGUCAGGGGCGGAGGUCGGCUGGUGCCUCUAGUCAGAUUCAUGCUCAGAUCGUCAGACCCUCCGUCGCGAGAUUAAAGCCGGGCGUCGAGGCAGCCGUUGCUCGGGUUUAGGGCGUUUUAGAAGGGGAAGGUGAGGCGCGAGGCAGGAAAGGCUGAGGGGAUGGAGUCGUAGGUGGGCCCGUCGCCGUCGCCGCCGCCAUUUGGUCUCGGUCCGGUAGCUCGGCGAGACCGACCCUGGCUCCGCCAGAAUAAAAGCCCCGCGAGGAGCCGCCGCCGCCGCCGCGCUGAAUGAGGUGCGUCUGAAGACACGGCGGCCCCGUCUCCCUCCUCAUCCUCACCCUCAUCCUCAUCCUCAGCGUGCUCCCGGUCCUGCUCCCUCCCCUCGCAGCUGAAGCAACACGCCUUGCUGUGGCUGGUCAAACGGAACCAAGUCAGGUGUUACUGUGAGGUUUGGUCCCCUUCAACCAGCUACUGCGUCGUGAAUUCAGUCAGCAGACUCCAGCGCGGACGAAGGCACACUGCCAUAAGGCCGCGCAUGUUAAAGGUGGUAUUCUAGUGAGGACUUAUUAGAUUGGUAAAUGUUUAUUUCUCAUGUGUUUUUCUCCAAAAGCAAAUAAAAAAUGAUUACUGACAA